AAAACAGGUUAAUAUUCCUGUACCGAUAUGGAAUGCGAUGGGGGGACGGAGAAGGGUAGGUCAGCCAACUGUUGGAAUAGUUGGUUCAAGCGUGUAGGCGUGCUCUGUAGGCAAAUCCGCAGAGCUUAGCUGAGGCGUGAUAACGAGGUGCCACGUGCACUGAAGUGAUUGAUCCCAUGCUUCCGGGAAAAGCCUCUAAGCUUCAGUUCCAUAUUGACCGUACUGCAAACCGACACAGGUGGGUAGGGUGAGAAUCCUAAGGCGCUUGAGAGAACUCAGGAGAAGGAACUCGGCAAAUUAACACCGUAACUUCGGGAGAAGGUGUGCCCUUGUAGGGUGAAGUCCCUUGCGGAUGGAGCUCGAAAGGGUUGCAGUGAAAAGGUGGCUGCGACUGUUUAUUAAAAGCACAGCACUCUGCAAACACGAAAGUGGACGUAUAGGGUGUGACGCCUGCCCGGUGCUGGAAGAUUAAAUGAUGGGGUGCAAGCUCUUGACUGAAGUCCCAGUAAACGGCGGCCGUAACGAUAACGGUCCUAAGGUAGCGAAAUUCCUUGUCGGGUAAGUUCCGACCCGCACGAAUGGCGUAACGAUGGCCACACUGUCUCCUCCUGAGACUCAGCGAAGUUGAAAUGUUUGUGAAGAUGCAAUCUCCCCGCUGCUAGACGGAAAGACCCCGUGAACCUUUACUGUAGCUUUGCAAUGGACUUUGGACAGACUUGUGUAGGAUAGGUGGGAGGCUUUGAAGUGGGAACGCCAGUUCUCAUGGAGCCGUCCUUGAAAUACCACCCUGGUGUGUUUGAGGUUCUAACCUGGGUCCGUCAUCCGGAUCGGGGACCGUGCAUGGUAGGCAGUUUGACUGGGGCGGUCUCCUCCCAAAGUGUAACGGAGGAGCUCGAAGGUCGCCUAGGUACGGUCGGACAUCGUACUGAUAGUGUAAUGGCAUAAGGCGGCUUAACUGCGAGACCGACAAGUCGAGCAGGUGCGAAAGCAGGACAUAGUGAUCCGGUGGUUCUGUAUGGAAGGGCCAUCGCUCAACGGAUAAAAGGUACUCCGGGGAUAACAGGCUGAUACCGCCCAAGAGUUCACAUCGACGGCGGUGUUUGGCACCUCGAUGUCGGCUCAUCACAUCCUGGGGCUGUAGCCGGUCCCAAGGGUAUGGCUGUUCGCCAUUUAAAGUGGUACGUGAGCUGGGUUUAAAACGUCGUGAGACAGUUUGGUCCCUAUCUGCAGUGGGCGUUGGAAGUUUGAGGGGGGCUGCUCCUAGUACGAGAGGACCGGAGUGGACGAACCUCUGGUGUACCGGUUAUGACGCCAGUCGUAUCGCCGGGUAGCUAAGUUCGGAAGAGAUAACCGCUGAAAGCAUCUAAGCGGGAAACUUGCCUCAAGAUGAGACUUCCCUGGCAGCUUGACUGCCCUGAAGGGUCGUGGAAGACCACCACGUUGAUAGGUCGGGUGUGGAAGCGCAGUAAUGCGUUAAGCUAACCGAUACUAAUUGCCCGUGCGGCUUGAUCCG
rnacentral:rRNA from 1 species